rnacentral:rRNA from 1 species
AGAGUUUGAUCCUGGCUCAGAUUGAACGCUGGCGGCAUGCCUUACACAUGCAAGUCGAACGGUAACGCGGGGGCAACCCUGGCGACGAGUGGCGAACGGGUGAGUAAUACAUCGGAACAUAUCCAGUAGCGGGGGAUAACCUAUCGAAAGAUUGGCUAAUACCGCAUACGAUCUACGGAUGAAAGCAGGGGACCGCAAGGCCUUGCACUAUUGGAGUGGCCGAUGUCAGAUUAGCUAGUUGGUGGGGUAAAAGCCUACCAAGGCGACGAUCUGUAGCUGGUCUGAGAGGACGAUCAGCCACACUGGAACUGAGACACGGUCCAGACUCCUACGGGAGGCAGCAGUGGGGAAUUUUGGACAAUGGGCGCAAGCCUGAUCCAGCCAUGCCGCGUGAGUGAAGAAGGCCUUCGGGUUGUAAAGCUCUUUCGGUGAAGACGAAACGGUUAGCGCUAAUAACGCUGACUAAUGACGGUACUCACAGAAGAAGCACCGGCUAACUACGUGCCAGCAGCCGCGGUAAUACGUAGGGUGCAGGCGUUAAUCGGAAUUACUGGGCGUAAAGCGUGCGCAGGCGGUUUGCUAAGACAGGUGUGAAAUCCCCGGGCUUAACCUGGGAAUUGCGCUUGUAACUGGCAAGCUAGAGUGUGGCAGAGGGGGGUGGAAUUCCACGUGUAGCAGUGAAAUGCGUAGAUAUGUGGAGGAACACCGAUGGCGAAGGCAGCCCCCUGGGUUAACACUGACGCUCAGGCACGAAAGCGUGGGGAGCAAACAGGAUUAGAUACCCUGGUAGUCC